AACAUUAAAGUUGUCUCUGAUUCUGAAAAUGGUGAAUUUAGAGUUCUCUGUGAAAUACCAGGAUCAGAUAACGUCUUGGAUUAUGAAUUUUCAAAUAAUCUGAAGUCACUCGAGAAUAAAGUAGUGAGCUGCAGUUAUUCUUCAAAAAACACACCAUCCAAACUAUCAUAUAGUGACAAGUUCAACAUAACAGAUCUUUUUCCUGUAAAAAUCCAGCCACCACAAACAACAAAGGGAACAUUAACAGCUCUGGCUACAGAAUCCAGUACUUGUUCUGAGACCACAACAGACCCUCCAACUGAUCUUUUUCCUGUAAAAACUCAGGCACCACAAAAAACAAAGGGAACAUUAAAUUCAACAUCAACUUUCUCCAUAAAUACUACAACAAUAGAGUCAAAAACUCUGGCUACAGAAUCCAGUAAUGAGACCACAAUAAACCCUCCAACUGAAACUACUCAGCCUUCACAAACCCUCAGUCUCUCAAGAGACACCAUAACAAGCAUAUGGUUAAUCAUGGCCAGUGGAGUCAUUGU